rnacentral:siRNA from 1 species
UGUAAGACCUUUUCUCUACUC